rnacentral:rRNA from 1 species
GUAGGGGGCAAGCGUUAUCCGGAUUUACUGGGUGUAAAGGGAGCGUAGACGGAAGUGCAAGUCUGAAGUGAAAGCCCGGGGCUCAACCCCGUGACUGCUUUGGAAACUGUGCUUCUAGAGUGUCGGAGAGGUAAGCGGAAUUCCUAGUGUAGCGGUGAAAUGCGUAGAUAUUAGGAGGAACAUCAGUGGCGAAGGCGGCUUACUGGACGAUAACUGACGUUGAGGCUCGAAAGCGUGGGGAGCAAACAGGAUUAGAUACCCUGGUAGUCUACGCCCUAAACGAUGUCUACUAGUUGUUGGGAGAGCAAUCUCUUGGUAACGCAGCUAACGCGUGAAGUAGACCGCCUGGGGAGUACGGUCGCAAGAUUAAAACUCAAA